rnacentral:lncRNA from 1 species
UUUGUGCUAUGACUUUUAUAAGRCUUUUCUGACUGUCAAAGCAAAAAUAUAUUUCUGUGCCUACCGAUUACUAUUGUUUGCAUUGAUUAUUAUAACUCAAAAUUAAUUUAUCUUUCUACAUUAUUCCCUUUAGCCCAGAUUCCCAUAAAACUUCCCAAAGUAGCUCAGGAAAAGGCUGGAUGGGGGGGAAAACAUACUCCUGUGUAUCUUUGUUUCAUUAAAUGAAACAGAGUGACUUACCAAGCUCUGCCGUGAGUUCAUCUUAAAAGAGAGAAAGAAAAAAAAAUAAUUUCCAUUAGGAUGUCUUUAUCCACAUGAUAUCAAGUUAAAGGACUUACUGAGGUCCAGAUUUCUGCUCCCAAACCAAAUAUUUUUAAUAAUAAAUUUAAUUCUGGGUUGGAUGAUUCCUUAUUGAAUCUCAUGAGCACUGAAACAAUCUGUGUCCUCAGUCCCAACCACAGACCCAAAAUAUAUGGGAGGUUCUGAAGAAAUGUGAACCCGUGACCAGCUCCUUGGUCAUUUCUUCAGGGAAACCAGGAUUUUGUUCAUCCCUUCUCACAAAAGGGUGAGGUCCAAGCUGUUGCAUUUUCCCUUAUCAGCUCUCUUCCUCAAGGCACCAGCAUGGAAAAUAAAAGCUUUGUUUGCAACUCCAAAAUACUCAUGCCAUGCAUGUGGACCUCAUUUUCCACCAGCCUGAAUUGUGUAUAGAAGAAAGAAGUGCAGAUGAGCUUGAGCGACCUGACAAUAAAUUCUGCAACCUUCAUUUCAGCCACACAGUUAAUGGUUCAUUGGCGGAUUCUGUGUUUCCCUUUGCUGAAUUUUAAUUGCUUCUGGUAGAGUUGAACAUCACUGAACUGCCCUAGGCAACAGAGGAGCCUCAAACYGACCCCAAAUAACUCUUUACUACCCAAAACGCAACACAGACGGGCAUUUCGGCUGUGCGGGGAAAGCAAAGGGAAGCAAGCAGCAUCCAAGGUACAAAGUUUCUGAAGAGUCUUCUCAGCUCAUAUUAAAGAGAGAGAGACCUCU